rnacentral:sRNA from 1 species
UAUUGACUGCCGAAGACAGCAGGUGCCGUAAGGCUUAAAGCUGAUAAUGCCUGCCGAGGAACGUACAAAUCAAACCAAGAUUGAUUUUGUAGACCCCUUUGUCCUUCGGACAAAGGGGUUUUU